rnacentral:sRNA from 1 species
UGAACUGAUGGUCACUGUCUUCUUUGUUC